rnacentral:rRNA from 1 species
UGGCGGACGGGUGAGUAAUGUCUAGGGAAACUGCCGAUGGAGGGGGAUAACUACUGGAAACGGUAGCUAAUACCGCAUAACGUCGCAAGACCAAAGAGGGGGACCUUCGGGCCUCUUGCCAUCGGAUGUGCCCAGAUGGGAUUAGCUAGUAGGUGGGGUAACGGCUCACCUAGGCGACGAUCCCUAGCUGGUCUGAGAGGAUGACCAGCCACACUGGAACUGAGACACGGUCCAG